rnacentral:rRNA from 1 species
CCUACGGGAGGCAGCAGUGGGGAAUAUUGGACAAUGGGGGGAACCCUGAUCCAGCCAUGCCGCGUGUGUGAAGAAGGCCCUCGGGUUGUAAAGCACUUUCAGUGAGGAAGAACGCCUGGUGGUUAAUACCCAUCAGGAAAGACAUCACUCACAGAAGAAGCACCGGCUAACUCCGUGCCAGCAGCCGCGGUAAUACGGAGGGUGCGAGCGUUAAUCGGAAUUACUGGGCGUAAAGCGCGCGUAGGUGGCUUGAUAAGCCGGUUGUGAAAGCCCCGGGCUCAACCUGGGAACGGCAUCCGGAACUGUCAAGCUAGAGUGCAGGAGAGGAAGGUAGAAUUCCCGGUGUAGCGGUGAAAUGCGUAGAGAUCGGGAGGAAUACCAGUGGCGAAGGCGGCCUUCUGGACCGACACUGACACUGAGGUGCGAAAGCGUGGGUAGCAAACAGGAUUAGAUACCCCGGUAGUC